GGGCCCGCACAAGCGGUGGAGCAUGUGGUUUAAUUCGAUGCAACGCGAAGAACCUUACCAGGGCUUGACAUACUGCGAAUUUCUUUGAAAGAAGAAAGUGCCUUCGGGAAUGCAGAUACAGGUGGUGCAUGGCUGUCGUCAGCUCGUGUCGUGAGAUGUUGGGUUAAGUCCCGCAACGAGCGCAACCCUUGUUUUUAGUUACUAAUUUAUUUAGGUUUUCUAGAAAGACUGCCGGUGACAAACCGGAGGAAGGUGAGGAUGACGUCAAGUCAGCAUGCCCCUUAUGUCCUGGGCUACACACGUGCUACAAUGGUUAAGACAAAGAGUCGCAAAUUCGUAAGGAUAAGCUAAUCUCAUAAACUUAGCCUAAGUUCAGAUUGUAGGCUGCAACUCGCCUACAUGAAGUUGGAAUC
rnacentral:rRNA from 1 species